CGGGCGGGUGCUAUACAUGCAGUCGAACGCGUUGGCCCAAUUGAUUGAGGGUGCUUGCACCUGAUUGAUUUUGGUCGCCAACGAGUGGCGGACGGGUGAGUAACACGUAGGUAACCUGCCCAGAAGCGGGGGACAACAUUUGGAAACAGAUGCUAAUACCGCAUAACAACGUUGUUCGCAUGAACAACGCUUAAAAGAUGGCUUCUCGCUAUCACUUCUGGAUGGACCUGCGGUGCAUUAGCUUGUUGGUGGGGUAACGGCCUACCAAGGCGAUGAUGCAUAGCCGAGUUGAGAGACUGAUCGGCCACAAUGGGACUGAGACACGGCCCAUACUCCUACGGGAGGCAGCAGUAGGGAAUCUUCCACAAUGGGCGCAAGCCUGAUGGAGCAACACCGCGUGAGUGAAGAAGGGUUUCGGCUCGUAAAGCUCUGUUGUUAAAGAAGAACACGUAUGAGAGUAACUGUUCAUACGUUGACGGUAUUUAACCAGAAAGUCACGGCUAACUACGUGCCAGCAGCCGCGGUAAUACGUAGGUGGCAAGCGUUAUCCGGAUUUAUUGGGCGUAAAGAGAGUGCAGGCGGUUUUCUAAGUCUGAUGUGAAAGCCUUCGGCUUAACCGGAGAAGUGCAUCGGAAACUGGAUAACUUGAGUGCAGAAGAGGGUAGUGGAACUCCAUGUGUAGCGGUGGAAUGCGUAGAUAUAUGGAAGAACACCAGUGGCGAAGGCGGCUACCUGGUCUGCAACUGACGCUGAGACUCGAAAGCAUGGGUAGCGAACAGGAUUAGAUACCCUGGUAGUCCAUGCCGUAAACGAUGAGUGCUAGGUGUUGGAGGGUUUCCGCCCUUCAGUGCCGGAGCUAACGCAUUAAGCACUCCGCCGGGGAGUACGACCGCAAGGUUGAAACUCAAGGAAUUGACGGGGGCCCGCACAAGCGGUGGAUCAUGUGGUUUAAUUCGAAGCUACGCGAGAGCUUACCAGGUCUUGACAUCUUGCGCAACCUAGAGAUACGGUCGUUUACAUCGGACGCAGUGACAGGUGGUGCAUGAUCGUCGUCAGCUCGAUGUCUGGGCAUGUGCGAUAGUACCGCACGAGUCGCUAUCCAUUGUUACUAGUG
rnacentral:rRNA from 1 species